UUUAUGGGGAUCCCCUGUCACUCGAGGGGAUAAAUCCCCGUUGGAAAGCGCGGCCUGGGAGGUGUGUGGGGGGGUGCGGCUGUGCUGCAGGUCUGGGGCUUCUCUGAGGGGUCCCUGAGGCCGGAGGUGAGCCCUGAGGACAUCUCCUCUGGGCCAUAUUCAAAGAACUGAGCUGACUUGAACUGCUGAAUUUGGAGGGAAGAUUUCAAGACAGCUCUAAGCACUUGGACACUGGAGCCAGGCAAGAGGGAAGAAGGACAGAAAUGCAGGCCCUUCCCCCCCCCUUCCCUUUGUGAACCCUUGGAAACCACUCUCAGAGUGCAGAUUCCAACCAGAUUUGUGUCAAGGCUUCAGCCAGGGCAUUUUGCAUUGACAUUGAGGUAUGUGGUAUCUGCUGCUUCUUCCCUAUCCACAAAGUCCUGUCCAUCAGGGAGGCAAAUCAGAUUGAGUCAGUUGUUUUGUUUGGGUGGAAUUCAAGUUGACAACAUGAAUCUCCUUGAUUAGUUUCUAUGCUCUUAGAAAUCAUUCAGAUUAUUCUAGUGUCUUUCUCUUCCUGGGCUUUAAAUCUUUUGGUAUCUUAGUUAUUCUGCUUGACUUGUGGAAGGUGACCAGAAGUUGUUUGGAAGUGUAAGAACUUUGGGGACAGUUGUAAAGGCAACAGAUACAAACCUCUCAGCAGGAGAAACCCUGUGCCAAAUGUGAAGUUCCUGUGAUAAAGCACAGAGACACAAACAGUUCUCAAGAGAAUGGUAGGAGGAGCAUUUUCUCCAAAAAACCACAUUAUUUUAUUUCAGCCUGAGAAAUUAUGAUGCAAAUCAGCCUAAUUUAAAAAAGAGAUUUCAGGCUAGCUUGAGAGAAAUCUUUACAGUUUGAACUUCAAGUCUGAACACUUGUAGAAAUAUUGUCAGGGUGAUGUAAAAGAAGAAGUUGGGAAACCUUAAUUUUGGGCAACCUUAAUUUUGGGCUGCACUGACUUUUUUUGCCCAUAAUAGAUUGGUAGUGAACAUCUAAGAAAAUAGAAGUAGAGAUUAGGCUAAAUUUCAUAACCUUUUAACCCAGAAAGCUUGGAUCUCCUCAGCAGUGUUUUCUGAACUCUAAUAUAUGCUCACUGUUGACAGGGGCUUAUUGACAGAACAGAAUAACCUUUGCACAGCUCAACGAGAAGUGCCUGUGUGAUAAGUUUUAGUAUCUCCUGUUCCAGGUGCCCAUGUGACUGUAAGUUUGAAUCUUCCCACAACAAGGUGUUGCACUUUGUCUUGUAGCACUUCUGGAGUGUUUGAUGCUGUGUGGGUAGGAAGUGUGUGUGUAUUUAUAUGAACACUUCAAUGUAUGAAUAAAGGAAGAACCUGCCUUUCUUUACCAAGGAAGAAGGAAUCCUUGGUAUGAAGGGUUUGCAGGUUUUCAGACACUUUGAUUUUGCCUGAAUUCAGCAUUCCAAAGGGCAGUACCAUCCAACAAACUCCUAUCUGGGCUGUGCCUUACCAGGCCUUUGGGUCAGUGCCAUUUCCACUGUGCAUUUUGUUAUGCAGAGUUAUCAUCCUGGUUGUGCCUUGAGCUGAUGGGAAGCUGGAAUUGCUGGCAGGGGAGGGAAAUCAGAAGUGUCAUCAAACUCUGAAAACGGAGGCAGAUGUAUUCCAUGAUGGAAUUUUGAGGUGUGCAUGUGGGCCCUGUUAUGACCCUUUCUUCUUUCACCUCUUCUUUCCAUCAUCUUCUGCAAUAUAAGUCCCCUUCUGCUUCCUGGCCCUUUAAGCUUAAGGAGCUGUACAAGUACUCUAGAAGUCACCUGUGUGUGGAAAAGUGUUCUUCCUUCCUGGUAUCCUUUGCUUUUGCAUGUACCCUCCACCACAAGGUUGGAAAUGAGCUUGGUGGUGAAGCAGAGACACAUGGGAAUACCCUGAGGACAGGGGUGCAGGGCAAUGCAGCUCAGAUUUUAUAACACAGAGGUGAGUAAUUUCUUAAUAGACUUUUGAACAUUAACUCUGGGUGAUUUCACUAUGAGGCAGCUGUUAACAUAUUACUGUGAAUUGGUUUGGAAAAACAAUAGAAGAAAAUUGCACAAGUAGAUAGGUUCUAAAGAGACAGAAAUAAUAAUGACAUGAAAAUGAGCUGGAAGAGCUGAGCUGCAGUAACAAUGGAAUGUUUUAAAAAAGAAAUGGGUGGCUAGGAAAGGGUGUAGGGAGAAAUGCUGCUAGGAGGCACCUGAGCUUGACAGUUUCUAUGACUGCAUGAAAUGGAGAAGCACAGCCAGGCCCCCACCCUCUCCCAGCAUAUUAUGCUGCACAGCAAUCAGGUGUAGGAACACAUUGCUGAGGAAAAGCCUCCCACUCUUUAGUAUUCAUCCUAGAUGGCAUUUUUCAGAUUGCAGCUCAGCAGUGUAAACAAGGCACGCUGGAGGAAGAGUGGAGAGCAGCAUUUCUCCAAGCUCUGCUUCAUUUCAUGUUGGUGUUCAGUGACUACACAAACCUAUGGUAGCACCAGUUCUAGGCAGGGAAAGCAACUCUCAAACCACCAGUGUUUUCUAGUGUUCUUGCAGGAAGCCAACCCAACAGGAGGAGAAACACAAUUCCUGCAGUAGGACAGGCACCUGGCUCCCUGCUGGGGCUGGAACAUCUGUCAGGGUGCUGCUGUGCUGGAACACCUACAUCUGGAAGCAGAAAGCUGCCUGGACAGACUGAAGCACCUUGGGGCUGACCAGCUGCUGUCACAUCCAAGUGUGGAAUGACACCAGCCAGUGACAUAGCAACUGGAGAGCUGUCCUGCCUGCCUGCUUGGCUUUGUAGAGUGAGGAGGGAUGGAAGAUGGGAAAUGUGACAACAGUCCCUGAGAAGCUCCCCAGGAGCAAAGUGAGUCCUGCAGACCAUCACACUGGAGUCUCUACCAAGCAACAUCUGCAAUAUCUGGCCAUGCAGGAUUCUUCUGGAAUGGGCCCUGUCUCCAAAGGACUGUCAGAAGCCUCUUGAAUGUUCAAGUAGAUGAUGUCAAGCAGUUCCUUUUUGAUAAUUUUUAGAAAGGAGCAUAUGUUCCAGAUGUCAAGAGCUGCAAAAUCCAUCACUUCAGUUCAGAAGCUCUGACCUCAAACUGCUCUGGGUAUGAGCUGUGAGAGCCACGUGGGCAAUGAAGGCAGGAGCUGGAGCAAUUACUGAAGCAUUAGUGACCACCCUGGAAGCUCUUGGAAGGCAGGUAUGUUCAGCUGGGACUCACCAAUGUUCAGCUCUGUAUUCCACAGAGACCUUGUCCAACAACAAGCUCCACUUCUGGCUUCAGGCAAGAGCAGGAUUUUAGCUGCAGUGCACAGCAGAGGAGCCAGUACGUGCUGGCAGACCCCAGCACUAAGGCAGGGGGGAGGAUUUACAAGAGACCAGGUCACAGAAGGGGAUGAGGAGACCAGUGCCUGGGAAAGAGCUCUGUGGAAGGGCUACCUGUGCUCCCUCCACCUGGAGAGGCAUCCUGACACCACAUCAGCAGGGCUGCAGGUGUCACAGACCCUCAUUCCUUUAUCCAAGCUGUUAUCUCUUGUACACACCAGCCUCCUCACACCACUCUGCAGUCCCUGGGUGAAGUGUAUGGGCAGGUAAACAUGCAGAAAUCAUGCAUGUAGAGAUAUAUGCAUGUAGAGGUACAUGCAUACAGAGAUACAUGCAUGUAGGGGUUCAUAUAUGUAGGGGUACAUACAUGCAGAGAUACCUGCAUGCAGCUACUCCUGCAUGGGCUGUCAAAGCCCUGACAUGGGGCUGUAUCCUCUCCCCCUGUUCACUUGGGCUGUAAAGUCUGGUGACCACAGGCUGUUAACUCACAAUCCAGAAGAUGAUCCAGGGAAAGAAUAUGUGCUUCUCCUGUGCUGUGAGGUUCUUCCACAGCACCCACUGCAGGUCACAGGAUGUGAGCAGAUGGAGUCUCUGGCCCUUUGAUUGGUCUGAUUAGGAUGGGUUUUGUGUUCUUUGUAGCUUAAAGCCCAGUGGCUUUCUCUUCUCAUAACUACACUUAGAGUGCUUUCAGUCUGAAAGGCUUUUCCUUAGUGAACCUUUCUGUUGGUCUCACCCCACUCUGUCUCUUCAUUUUCAUUAUUAGCAGAUGGAGCACGAGUCCCAGUUCUUUCCUUCCAUCCUUCCUGCCAAGAGAUCUCUGGUGCCUCGGCAUAUUUUAAGCAAGUUUUACUGUAUUGCCUGUUCCUCCUCUGUAAAAACGAACCGGGAGCGUCGCAGCCUCUCACCUCCAGGGCCCUGCUGGUUGGCCUCUUCUCACAUCAAUCAGUGCCCUGCCUCAAGUUCCCACUGCCCCUCUGGAGCAGGUGUACACUGCUAUGAAUAAGUGCUGUUUCACCUCUUGCCUGCCCUCCACCAACUGCUUGGGGCCACCAUUUUAGACUUCAGCUUGAGCUGCAAAGAGUAAGUGACCCUGUUUUCCAGAGCCCUUGUUGAAAGGAGCAGAAACUGGAUUUUGUUUUUAUUAACUCCAUAAGGAGCUGCCACAGGAGGAAAGGGCCUGUGUUUGCCAGAUCUCUGGAGCCCCUGCUGGUGGGGCUGAGCUUCAGAAAGUGCUGAGCAGGUAUCAAGCAUGCUGGCAUCACACUGGGUUAGUUUUCCUUUUAGAAAUAAAAAAGAUGGUUCAAGCCACAGCUGAGACAAAGUGAACUUUGUUUUAUUCAAUGCAUUGUUUACUUUGUCUCUGGGAACAGAUUUCUGGAGCAGACCUUGCCCUGCUCCUCAUCCUCAGCUCCUCCCACAGCUCCUGCACCAGAAGAGCUGCUAGAGCUCAAAGGGAGCAGCCAACAGCCAUGGCUGUCUUGCUGCAGCAGUUCUUGUCUCCUUGCAGUGGGAGGGCUGGUCAGGCUGAAUCACAACUUUGCUCUUGGGAAGAGCUGAAAUAUAAAACUGCAGGAAUUUGUGUCUCCUGCUACCUGCAUCUCCCAAAGAGGCAGCUGCUGCUUUAGCUGCCUUCUCAAGGACAGGCAGCCAGUUCCUGCUGGGAAUGCAAGAUCACAGAAGCUUCUUCCCUAGGUAGGGGCACUACAGAGGGGGCUGCUGAUCCAGCCUGGCUGUGUGCAUGUCCAGGCUGGCUGGCUGGAUUUUUGCUGUCACUUGCCCAGUGCAGGAUGUGCUACAAAGGAAAGAGCUUUAUUGCCCUCAUCCUGCCUCUCUUCUUUGGGCACCCAGCCCUUGCUCCAGGCUGCUCUCAGGACUGAAGAAAGAAGUGUGUUUCCUCUGCCCAUUGCCCAGACUCUGCUGGGAAAAGGAGAGUUGAGGGGCACCAGCUUCUUCCCAGCAACCCUUUCCCUGCAGGGAAACCAAAAUAUAAAUAACCUGCCUUUGGCUGCUAAGAACCAGGUAAGGCAAAGAAGUGAAAAGCUGUGAUGGAGAUUUUGGGGACCCUUCCCUUCCUCCCCUGCUCUUGUACAUAAACAGGGACUGUCCUGGGCUCUCAUCCUGCAAAGAACCUGCCCUGGCUGGGGGAGGCAGCCUGAAAAAGCAGCAUAAGGGAUCAGGUUUAGAAAGUUCUGUUUGUUUGUUUAUCAUUUUCUCUGACCUCCAGGGCUGGGCUCUGCAGUGGAAGUGAGAUCUGUACCAGGCAGGGAUGGUAGGCCCCAGGAGUCACAGCAGAGAGGACCACGUCCAUGGGAGAUGCCCAGAGCCACCAGCCACCCUGCCCUGACAUCUGAGGUGAUUUUCCACACAAUUUUAACCUGUGUGACUCACGUGGCUGACACCACCUUCCCUUGCUGCAGAACAAAACCCUUCACACCAGAGCAGCCUCCUGUGCUGUCCCUGAGCAGCAGGAGUCCUGUGUCUGUCAUUUCACCUCCAUGUGCUGGCAUCCAGGUUUCAGAUGGCUGCCACGGUGCUUAAGCAUCCCAGGAGACUUUCCCUCUUGUUCACACUACGGAAGAGAAAGGCUCCUGUUCCCACUUGGAUCUUACAAUGGCUUGUCAAUGAGAAAACAUUCCCAAAUCCUCUCAUUUAUCAAAUGGCCAAUCCUGUUAACAGCUUAAGAAGCAUAAUUACCUGCAGUCUCUUCUGCUAUUCAUUUGAUGCCUCCACUUCCCUCUCUCUGGCAGCUUCCCAGCAGGCAAGGCAGGAGCUGCAGCCACCAAGUGCUUCAGAAAUGCAAUUUCCUUUCAUCACCUGCAUGAUGAUCACAGGAGUUUUUGCCUCCCUCUGUAGCAGCAAGAAGCAGUGUCUCACGUGGAUCAAAUCUCAGGGAGGAUUUAGAAGAGCAACAUUUUCAGCCUGAAGAUCUGCUGGCCUCAUAAAUGCUGGUUACAUACAAGACAAGCUUGAGCUGAAGAGACACCCUUAGGAUCACCACAGCUUCCCCUGCAGCUUGAGGACUAGAAAAUCCCCAAGUCUGUCCUACCAAGCUGCCUUUUGUGCCUUAAAAUCUUGUACUAGCCUGACAUUAUCACUGUACAUGUCACUGGCAGGGACACACUUCUGUCUGCACUCUCUGUUUAGACCUGCCUGCAGCUCUGAAGGAUUUUUCUUGUGCUUACUCCUCUUUUCAACCAUAGCAGCUAUUUUGGAUCCUCAGUGUUUUGGAGAAAUGAUAAACAUGUCUUCUGACACUUUCA